rnacentral:tRNA from 3 species
GCGCCCGUAGCUUAAUGGAUAGAGCAUCUGACUACGGAUCAGAAGGUUGGGGGUUCGAGUCCCUCCGGGCGCG